rnacentral:rRNA from 1 species
AUUGAACGCUGGCGGCAGGCCUAACACAUGCAAGUCGAACGAUUGGCGGACGGGUGAGUAAUGUCUGGGAAACUGCCUGAUGGGGGGGGAUAACUACUUGAAACGGUAGCUAAUACCGCAUCCCAUCAGAUUUGCCCAGAUGGGAUUAGCUAUUUGGUGGGGUAACGGCUCACCAAGCCGACGAUCCCUAGCUGGUCUGAGAGGAUGACAAGCCACAUUGGCACUGAGACACGGGCCAGACUCCUACGGGAGGCAGCAUUGGGGAAUAUUGCACAAGGGGCGCAAGCCUGAUGCAGCCAUGCCGCGUGUAUGAGGAAGGCCUUCGGGUUUUAAAGUACUUUCAGCGGGGAGGCGUUACCCGCAGAAGAAGCAACGGCUAACUCCGUGCCAGCAGCCGCGGUAAUAC